rnacentral:rRNA from 1 species
AUUGAACGCUGGCGGCAGGCCUAACACAUGCAAGUCGAGCGGAUGAAGGGAGCUUGCUCCUGGAUUCAGCGGCGGACGGGUGAGUAAUGCCUAGGAAUCUGCCUGGUAGUGGGGGAUAACGUCCGGAAACGGGCGCUAAUACCGCAUACGUCCUGAGGGAGAAAGUGGGGGAUCUUCGGACCUCACGCUAUCAGAUGAGCCUAGGUCGGAUUAGCUAGUUGGUGGGGUAAAGGCCUACCAAGGCGACGAUCCGUAACUGGUCUGAGAGGAUGAUCAGUCACACUGGAACUGAGACACGGUCCAGAAUCCUACGGGAGGCAGCAGUGGGGAAUAUUGGACAAUGGGCGAAAGCCUGAUCCAGCCAUGGCGCGUGUGUGAAGAAGGGCUUCGGAUUGUAAAGCACUUUAAGUUGGGAGGAAGGGCAGUAAGUUAAUACCUGGCUGUUUUGACGUUACCAACAGAAUAAGCACCGGCUAACUUCGU